UUGGAGGGCAAGUCUGGUGCCAGCAGCCGCGGUAAUUCCAGCUCCAAUAGCGUAUAUUUAAGUUGUUGCAGUUAAAAAGCUCGUAGUUGAAUUUCGGGACCAAUAUGUCGGUCGUGCCUCGGUACGUACUGGCAUCGUUGGUUUCUCCCUUCUGACGAACCAUGAUGUCAUUCAUUUGGUGUCGUGGGGAAUCAGGACUGUUACUUUGAAAAAAUUAGAGUGUUUAAAGCAGGCUCACGCUUGAAUACAUUAGCAUGGAAUAAUGAAAUAGGACGUUUGAUUCUAUUUUGUUGGUUUCUAGGAUCAACGUAAUGAUUAAUAGGGAUAGUUGGGGGCAUUAGUAUUCAAUUGUCAGAGGUGAAAUUCUUGGAUUUAUUGAAGACUAACUACUGCGAAAGCAUUUGCCAAGGAUGUUUUCAUUAAUCAAGAACGAAAGUUAGGGGAUCGAAGACGAUCAGAUACCGUCGUAGUCUUAACCAUAAACUAUGCCGACUAGGGAUCGGAUGAUGUUAAUUUUUUAAUGACUCAUUCGGCACCUUACGGGAAAC
rnacentral:rRNA from 1 species